UACAGGGGGCUCGAGCGUUAGUCGGAAUCACUGGGCUUAAAGGGUGCGUAGGCGGUCCGUCAAGUGUUUUGUGAAAUCCCACAGCUCAACUGUGGAACAGCAGGGCAAACUGACGGACUUGAGGCAGGUAGGGGCCGACAGAACAGUUGGUGGAGCGGUGAAAUGCGUAGAUAUCAACUGGAAUGCCGAUGGGGAAGCCGGUCGGCUGGGCCUGUCCUGACGCUGAGGCACGAAAGCGUGGGGAGCAAACAGG
rnacentral:rRNA from 1 species